rnacentral:rRNA from 1 species
UACGUAGGGUGCAAGCGUUGUCCGGAAUUAUUGGGCGUAAAGAGCUCGUAGGCGGUCUGUUGCGUCGGCUGUGAAAACACGGGGCUCAACUCCGUGCCUGCAGUCGAUACGGGCAGACUAGAGUUCGGUAGGGGAGACUGGAAUUCCUGGUGUAGCGGUGAAAUGCGCAGAUAUCAGGAGGAACACCGAUGGCGAAGGCAGUGGUCUGGGCCGGAACUGACGCUGAAUAGCGAAAGCGUGGGUAGCGAACAGG